rnacentral:rRNA from 1 species
GACGAACGCUGGCGGCGUGCUUAACACAUGCAAGUCGAACGGAAAGGCCCUGCUUUUGUGGGGUGCUCGAGUGGCGAACGGGUGAGUAACACGUGAGUAACCUGCCCUUGACUUUGGGAUAACUUCAGGAAACUGGGGCUAAUACCGGAUAGGAGCUCCUGCUGCAUGGUGGGGGUUGGAAAGUUUCGGCGGUUGGGGAUGGACUCGCGGCUUAUCAGCUUGUUGGUGGGGUAGUGGCUUACCAAGGCUUUGACGGGUAGCCGGCCUGAGAGGGUGACCGGCCACAUUGGGACUGAGAGACGGCGCAGACUCCUACGGGAGGCAGCAGUGGGGAAUAUUGCACAAUGGGCGGGAGCCUGAUGCAGCAACGCCGCGUGCGGGAUGACGGCCUUCGGGUUGUAAACCGCUUUCGCCUGUGACGAAGCGUGAGUGACGGUAAUGGGUAAAGAAGCACCGGCUAACUACGUG